UCUCAGUUCUUUUUUCAGCUUUACUUGGACACACAAUCCAAAUCCAAUAUUUCUAGCCCUGCUUUAUUUUGAUUCCUAUGAUACAUGACCACCUAUAUCAAUUGACGGGUUACAAAUGAAUCCACAAAAAAUAAGAAGAUUGGACAAUUUUUGACAAAAUAGGAAUAUGGAUUAAGACUCUCGACUCAAUUAAAAUGACGCUCAUUUGUAAGAAACUGACUCCAUCAAUUGGCCCUCACCAAUGGUUAACAUGGAACAAACCGUGUUAUCAAUUGUAGGGCCAGUCGCGAGCACACGUUUAAGCAAUCUCCUACAAUUUUUUCUUUAGGAUU
rnacentral:lncRNA from 1 species